CCUACGGGUGGCAGCAGUGGGGAAUAUUGCGCAAUGGGCGAAAGCCUGACGCAGCGACGCCGCGUGAGGGAUGAAGGUCUUCGGAUCGUUAACCUCUGUCAGCAGGGAAGCACGGUCACCGUGCUAAUCAGUAGUGAAUUGACGGUACCUGCAAAGGAAGCACCGGCUAACUCCGUGCCAGCAGCCGCGGUAAUACGGAGGGUGCGAGCGUUAAUCGGAAUUACUGGGCGUAAAGCGCUCGUAGGCGGUAUGUCAAGUCAAGGGUGAAAUCCCCGCGCUCAACGUGGGAACUGCCUUUGAAACUGGCAAACUGGAGUGUGUGAGAGGAUAGUGGAAUUCCAGGUGUAGGAGUGAAAUCCGUAGAUAUCGGGAGGAACAUCAGUGGCGAAGGCGACUAUCUGGCACAUAACUGACGCUGAGGAGCGAAAGCGUGGGUAGCAAACAGGAUUAGAUACCCUGGUAGUC
rnacentral:rRNA from 1 species